CCGGGGCGGGUGCCUAUACAUGCAAGUCGAGCGCGGGAAGCGAGUGGAUCCCCUUCGGGGGUGAAGCUCGUGGAACGAGCGGCGGACGGGUGAGUAACACGUGGGCAACCUACCUGUAAGAUCGGAAUAACCCCGGGAAACCGGGGCUAAUGCCGGGUAAUACUUUUCUUCGCAUGAAGGAAAGUUGAAAGAUGGCCUCUGGCUAUCACUUACAGAUGGGCCCGCGGCGCAUUAGCUAGUUGGUGAGGUAACGGCUCACCAAGGCAACGAUGCGUAGCCGACCUGAGAGGGUGAUCGGCCACACUGGGACUGAGACACGGCCCAGACUCCUACGGGAGGCAGCAGUAGGGAAUCUUCCGCAAUGGACGAAAGUCUGACGGAGCAACGCCGCGUGAACGAUGAAGGUCUUCGGAUCGUAAAGUUCUGUUGUUAGGGAAGAACAAGUGCCGUGCGAAUAGAGCGGCACCUUGACGGUACCUAACGAGGAAGCCCCGGCUAACUACGUGCCAGCAGCCGCGGUAAUACGUAGGGGGCAAGCGUUGUCCGGAAUUAUUGGGCGUAAAGCGCGCGCAGGCGGUUCCUUAAGUCUGAUGUGAAAGCCCACGGCUCAACCGUGGAGGGUCAUUGGAAACUGGGGAACUUGAGGACAGAAGAGGAGAGUGGAAUUCCACGUGUAGCGGUGAAAUGCGUAGAUAUGUGGAGGAACACCAGUGGCGAAGGCGACUCUCUGGUCUGUUUCUGACGCUGAGGUGCGAAAGCGUGGGUAGCAAACAGGAUUAGAUACCCUGGUAGUCCACGCC
rnacentral:rRNA from 1 species